rnacentral:rRNA from 1 species
CUACCCUUGACAUGGAUGGAAUCCUUGAGAGAUUGAGGAGUGCCCGAAAGGGAACCAUUACACAGGUGCUGCAUGGCUGUCGUCAGCUCGUGUCGUGAGAUGUUGGGUUAAGUCCCGCAACGAGCGCAACCCUUGUCAUUAGUUGCUACGAAAGAGCACUCUAAUGAGACUGCCGGUGACAAACCGGAGGAAGGUUGGGAUGACGUCAAGUCCUCAUGGCCCUUAUGGGUAGGGCUUCACACGUCAUACAAUGGUACAUACAGAGGGCCGCCAACCCGCGAGGGGGAGCUAAUCCCAGAAAGUGUAUCGUAGUCCGGAUUGUAGUCUGCAACUCGACUACAUGAAGUUGGAAUCGCUAGUAAUCGCGGAUCAGCAUGUCGCGGUGAAUACGUUCCC